CCGGGUUCGAGUCCCACCUGUGGCUCCUUUCCUGCGUGUCAUUCCACACUAUAAAGAUAAAGAUAAAGAUAAACUUUAUUGAUUCCCCGUGGGGGAAAUUUGUGCAUUACAGCAGCUCCAGAAAACAGGGGACGGGAAUACAAUUAUUAAAAAUAAAAAUAGAAGUUAAAAAUCAAAUCAAACAUAUUUACAUCAGUUAAAUAAAAAAAAUACAAUAAUGGAAAA